GUCUUUUUGAAAUAUAAUUUAAAGUCUAAUCUGCCCACUGAUAAAUAUUAAAGGGCUGCAGUAUAUUGACUGUACAAAGGUAGCAUAAUCAUUAGUUUUUUAAUUGGAAACUUGUAUGAAAGAUUUGAUGAAAUAUAAACUGUCUCUUAAUUAUUAUUAAAAUUUUAUUUUUUAGUUAAAAAGCUAAAAUAAAUUUAAAAGACGAGAAGACCCUAUAGAGUUUUAUAUUUUAUUUUAUUUUAAAAAUUUAUAAAAUUAAUUUUUAAAAUAAAAUAAAAUAUUAUGUUGGGGUGACAGAAAAAUUAAAUAAACUUUUUUUAAAGAUUUAACAUUAAUAAAUGAGUAAAUGAUCCAUUAAUAAUGAUUAUAAGAAAAAAUUACCUUAGG
rnacentral:rRNA from 1 species